CCUCUUAAUCUGUGCCAGCAUCGCUCUUCUGGUUUUCACAUUAUCGGCAAUAACCCUCCUGAGUUCUUACUGCUGGAAACAAAUUCUGACCCACAAGUCAACAAAGGCAGAGCAAAUGUCCACUCGUAUGAUGCCUGACCUGCCCAAGUGGAGCACUCCUUCCACUCCCGUCAUGUUUGGUCUGAACAACUUCCACUCUCCAGGGACACCACCGACCGUCAUCACCAGUGGGAACCAGCCUUUAGGCAUGUACACCACC